rnacentral:lncRNA from 1 species
UGAGAUGAUCUAACACAUAGUUGCCUAACCACUCACAUCACAAUGCUGACAACUUCACAAACCUUAUCAGGAAAAGUGUCCCCACAUCCUAUACCAAUUUCUUCAUUCUGGUGAACACUCUGAAUGGAGUCACAGUGUGGUUUAUGUACAGUGUUCUGUCGCAAGUAGAGAUAGAGAGCUAAGCUUGAUAAGAAUCACAGGCUCUAUAGCCUAGACCAGUGGUUCUCAAACUGAGGUCCCCAGAUGUUCUUGGACUGCAAUUCCUAGAAGCCUUCACCACUUGUGGUGCUGGCCAGGAUUUUUGGAAUUUACAGUCCAAGAACAUCUGAGGACCCAAGUUUGAGAACCAAUGAUUUAGACUAGUGCUUCCCAGCCUUCAAUCACCAGAUGUUCCUGGACUAAAACUCCCAGAAAUCCUGGUUAGUGGUGAAGGCCUCUGGGAACUUUAAUUCAAGAACAACUGGGUUUUUACAUUGCUGUUUUUAUAUUGUUUAUAUUGAGAGGUCAGGUAGCAUAAAAGAAUGUUUCUCUUGAAUUUUAGAUUGUGAGGUGUUCUUUCAGAACUGCAUGCCUUGUAUAUGAAGAAAAUUCUUGUAUACGUCAGAGAGCAGCCCUAGAUGCCUUUGCCAUGGAUUUAAAUUAAUGAUUUAGAUGUGAAUAAGCCACCUUUGAUACAUGAGAAUCCUGCUUCCUCGCCCUGCCAAGGAAGGGUUGAGUCGUCAACAGGGCCAAGCGAACUAGUGAGGAAGAUUUCCUUGCACCAGGGAAAAUGGAGGUGAAAAAUGCUGGCCAGGUAGAGCAUCGAGAAAGGCUGCAAAAAAUAGUACAGUUUGAAUUUCAUUGCAUUAUCUCAGGCUUUGCUGCCGAAUGACUUCGUUAUUCCUUUUUCUUGAACAAUAACAAUGACAGCAAAAUAAAAUCACUUGUAUUUCCA